GGAGUAGUAGUCCUUUCAAAGCCCUACCCCCUGCUUCAUGGAGCAAAGGCUCGCCCACCAGGACCACAAUUCCCACACACCUCUGCGACGGGGGCUUCUGGAUCGCGCCCGUUUCCGCGCUCUGCUGCUUUCCAUUAGGCGGAAGGGAGCUGUCAAUCACCUGGGCGGCGGGAGCUGAUUGGACGCGCCGCUCCCGGAGCUGGGGACUGUCAUGGCGGCUGGAGGGGGAGUGGUGGCUGCCAUUUUAUGAGGGGAGCUUGCACGCCGCGCCGCUGCGGCUUGUCUGCGAGGUGUGGGGACGCGGGGGACUGUGGCCUCCUCCUCGUGCCAUGGGGCCUUCCCCUGCCGCGGGCUCGUUCCCGCCGCUGAGGCAGCCCAUGCAGGAGGAGCGGACGCGCGGGCAGUGCCGGCCAGAGUGCGCAUCUGCCCCAGGGCCGCGGGUUCCCCCUCCCUCCCCUCGCUCGGGCCGCCUGGCAGCAGCGGGGCGCUGGGGUCGGUACCCCCGUAGUGGCACGUGAUUAAUUCGGAGUAGCUGUACAGCCGGGCGGGUUGAUUCGGAUGCGAGCGCCUUGCCCCUCCCGCGGGGCAGUGCGUUGUCCCGCGUGAAAGACCCGCGAAGUACCCGCCCGAGCGCUUUGCUUUGCCCCGGGUCAGCCCCGGCUGCCUCCUCUGCCUCGUGUGAACGGCUGUCCCGCCCCCCGCUUUGAUGGGGCUCAUAUCUCGGACUAAUCCGACUGGGGGUUUGAACCAAAUCGUCUGUUUUUAGCCCGUGCCUGGGAGCAAAGAGGAGCCGUUCGGGCGCAGUGCUCAGUGACACUGAAUAGAGGAGAUGACACGUUUCGUUGCUGCAGAGGACGCUAACAGGACAGUGAAAAAUAUUUAAACAGUUCCCUUCUCAGCAAGUGGAAACAACUCACAAGUGAAGCAUCUUUGAACAUUCAACGUCAAGAGAUCCACUUCUGUACAAAGUAUAUACAAACCAGUUUCUAAAACACUUGUAACCAGCUGCUGUACAGAUGAAGUUGGUCAAUCAUAGCCUGGUUUUUAGCAGGAUCAGCCAGACUGGCAGUAAGUUACACCUCUCCAGGAGGCUCCAAAAGUCUCAUAAUAAAGGAGAAUUUUGAUCUGCCAAGUCUCACAAGGCAGAUCCUUUACUACUCUUGUACAACCAUUAGAUAUUUAGAUGACACUGGUUGCAGUGCUAGUAUUAUGCCAUUGACAUGCAGCUUUUCCUCCUUAGCAGUCUCCUUGAUCUCUGUGUACUGAAGAUUUUGGAGCCUUUUUAAAGGACGGGUGGCUGAAGCCCAAGAAAGACUGAUGUGAUGCUUGUUUGAGGGAGAAAGUCCACAGAGUCUGGCAAGGGCCAUUCUAGGGAGGUUCUUGCUCUGGACUAAAGACAUCACAAUGUUUUAUCAACUAAAUUUAAGUACUGCUCUUUACAAAGCAACUUUCAUUUUUGGCUACCAAGAUUAUGUGAGACUAGGCAGAAUUAUCUGGUCAGAUGUUUGUCACCUCCAACCUUAACUACCAUGUACUCUGUGUCCAGAAUCAUUUCUUGAAGAAGCUGUAGUUGAUGCAUAGUGUGACAGGUUGUCUCCUUAGCAGGAUGAGUUGGAGAGAGCAUGUUAAAUCAGCAUUCUGCAACUUGGAUUGUUUAUUGUCAUACCUGUUGCAGAUUUCAUAAGUUCUUUAAUAUGAUAGGCUUGCCCUGUCAGUGGAACUGCCUCCAUUUUUGUAACCUGCCUCAUCUGCUAGGGUUGCCCAACACGCUGCAGAUUAUACCUGGAGUCCGUUAAACAGAGGGAAGCUGACAGAAGAGCUUUCUUAGUGGAAAGCUCUGGUGCCUCCACAGCAUCUAAAAAGAAAUCAUAGCCUCAUAUCCUACUACAAGACUCUUUUCCACUAAAGUACUCUCCAGAGACCAAUGGCAGCAUAAUCCAAAGUAGAAAUAACAAAUUAAAUCAAAAUAGGUUGGGAAGCUGAUUCUCUACCGUGAAGGAAGCUCUGUGCCUGUUUACAUUACUCUUGUUUUAAUGUGAAUAAUUUCUCUGCCAGUUACCUUGGGUUUGCCAACACAUUUGCAAUUGACUUCAUGUUGUUUUCCAGGACUACCACCAAAUUAUAUAAAUGGCAAAUAUUAUAUUAGUGGAGGGAGACUUAUCUACAUAGCUGAUCUGGUUUAAGUUGAGAAAAUGCACUUCAGUGAGGAUAUUUACUGCUGAUGCAUCUAACAAUUUUUCUUCAUUUUUCACAUUAAUUGGGUAUUAGAAAAUUCCUAACUCAUGUUGGCAGAUUGCUACAUGCCUAAUGCUAAAAUCACUGUGUAAGAGUACAUACUUAUGUUCUUGUUGCAUGAUCUUGCAUGUUUAAUAAUGUAAGAUUUAAAAUAAAUAAAUAUUGUAUUUUG